CAGAGUUGAAAAACUCCCUAACCCUUUGUUUACAUACCUGUUCAGCUUGCUUCGGCAGGCGGCCCCAGGGCGGGCCCUCCAGCCUGCUCACGCAGGUGCCUGCCGCUGGCGCAAAAAAACUCUGUUAUAUAUUACCCCUCUGAGUCUAAAAACAAAUGAAUCAA
rnacentral:misc_RNA from 1 species